ncrna:Yersinia intermedia ATCC 29909 C4 antisense RNA
AGAAACGGUGAACUGGGUGGGGGCAUCGCAAGAUGCGCCGGGUUCUUUGGUAACCGGUAGUUCCAACCUCGCUCAGUUCACCACCCAU